rnacentral:rRNA from 1 species
GACGAACGCUGGCGGCGUGCCUAAUACAUGCAAGUAGAACGCACAGUUUAUACCGUAGCUUGCCACACCAUAGACUGUGAGUUGCGAACGGGUGAGUAACGCGUAGGUAACCUGCCUGGUAGCGGGGGAUAACUAUUGGAAACGAUAGCUAAUAUCGCAUAAUAUUAAUUAUUGCAUGAUAAUUAAUUGAAAGGUGCAAUUGCACCACUACCAGAUGGACCUGCGUUGUAUUAGCUAGUAGGUGAGGUAACGGCUCACCUAGGCGACGAUACAUAGCCGACCUGAGAGGGUGAUCGGCCACACUGGGACUGAGACACGGCCCAGACUCCUACGGGAGGCAGCAGUAGGGAAUCUUCGGCAAUGGACGAAAGUCUGACCGAGCAACGCCGCGUGAGUGAAGAAGGGUUUCGGAUCGUAAAGCUCUGUUGUAAGAGAAGAACGGGUGUGAGAGUGGAAAGUUCACACUGUGACGGUAUCUUACCAGAAAGGGACGGCUAACUACGUG